ACGAACCCUGCGGGAGAGAUCGUACCCGCCUAUACGAGGGUCCGACGCCGAAGGAGCAACCGCCCCGGAAACUCUCAGGCAUCAGGGACCGCAGGGGGAUG
rnacentral:ncRNA from 2 species